UACGUAGGGUGCAAGCGUUAAUCGGAAUUACUGGGCGUAAAGCGUGCGCAGGCGGCUUUGCAAGACAGAGGUGAAAUCCCCGGGCUCAACCUGGGAACUGCAUUUGUGACUGCAGGGCUAGAGUACGGUAGAGGGGGAUGGAAUUCCGCGUGUAGCAGUGAAAUGCGUAGAUAUGCGGAGGAACACCGAUGGCGAAGGCAAUCCCCUGGACCUGUACUGACGCUCAUGCACGAAAUCGUGGGGAGCAAACAGG
rnacentral:rRNA from 1 species